CAGCAGCCGCGGUAAUACGAAGGGGGCUAGCGUUGCUCGGAAUGACUGGGCGUAAAGCGUGCGUAGGCGGCUUCUUAAGUCGGAUGUGAAAUCCCUGAGCUUAACUUAGGAAUUGCAUUCGAUACUGGGAAGCUAGAGUAUGGGAGAGGAUGGUAGAAUUCCAGGUGUAGCGGUGAAAUGCGUAGAGAUCUGGAGGAAUACCGAUGGCGAAGGCAGCCAUCUGGCCUAAUACUGACGCUGAGGUACGAAAGCAUGGGGAGCAAACAGGAUUAGAUACCCCCGUAGUCCCUGUCUCUUAUAU
rnacentral:rRNA from 1 species